GCCUAGGUGGCUCAAUUGGCUGAGUGUCUAACUCUUGAUUUUGACUCAAGUCAUGAUCUCACAGUUUGUGGGUUCGAGCCCCACUCCAGGCU
rnacentral:tRNA from 1 species